CAGGUAGGUCACCCCUCAGUGUGCUGGUCAGGUAGGUCACCCCUCUGGGGGCCCUCAGUGUGCUGGUCAGGUAGGUCACCCCUCUGGGGGCCCUCAGUGUGCUGGUCAGGUAGGUCACCCCUCAGUGUGCUGGUCAGGUAGGUCACCCCUCUGGGGGCCCUCAGUGUGCUGGUCAGGUAGGUCACCCCUCAGUGUGCUGGUCAGGUAGGUCACCCCUCUGGGGGCCCCUCAGUGUGCUGGUCAGGUAGGUCACCCCUCAGUGUGCUGGUCAGGUAGGUCACCCCUCUGGGGCCCCUCAGUGUGCUGGUCAGGUAGGUCACCCCUCUGGGGGCCCUCAGUGUGCUGGUCAGGUAGGUCACCCCUCUGGGGGCCCUCAGUGUGCUGGUCAGGUAGGUCACCCCUCUGGGGGCCCUCAGUGUGCUGGUCAGGUAGGUCACCCCUCAGUGUGCUGGUCAGGUAGGUCACCCCUCUGGGGGCCCUCAGUGUGCUGGUCAGGUAGGUCACCCCUCUGGGGGCCCUCAGUGUGCUGGUCAGGUAGGUCACCCUCUGGGGGCCCUCAGUGUGCUGGUCAGGUAGGUCACCCCUCUGGGGGCCCUCAGUGUGCUGGUCAGGUAGGUCACCCCUCUGGGGGCCCUCAGUGUGCUGGUCACGUAGGUCACCCCUCUGGGGGCCCUCAGUGUGCUGGUCAGGUAGGUCACCCCUCUGGGGGCCCUCAGUGUGCUGGUCAGGUAGGUCACCCCUCUGGGGGCCCUCAGUGUGCUGGUCAGGUAGGUCACCCCUCUGGGGGCCCUCAGUGUGCUGGUCAGGUAGGUCACCCCUCAGUGUGCUGGUCAGGUAGGUCACCCC